rnacentral:lncRNA from 1 species
AAAGCUCUCUGUGGCGGAGGCAAUGCGUCAGAGAGACCCACGUGGCUGAAAGCUUGUUGGUUUCACAGAGGGCCGGCCGCAUUAGCUAACUCCUUCUCUGACUUCAAGUCUCAGGAAUUCUUCCCCAACACAGGCACCCCGCACCUCCCUUGUCACAGGGCAAUUUCACAUUUGUUUGCUUACUUUAUCAGUGUCUGUCUACCCUGAGAGCCCCCAAGUGUGGGGGGUCCGCUUACACUGUGCCUGGAAGGAAAGCGUAAGAGAAGAGGAUAUUGAUGGCUCCCUGCAAACACAUGAUCGCUGUGGAGAUGGAGAUGGGCAUGCAUGCAGAGCAACGGGGCUGGAGACCUGGCUGAGGGAGGGGAAGCCAUCCCGAAAUGAAUCCUGGAGUGGGUUGGGACCCUGUGUGGAUACACUGCGACUGAUUGCUUGUGUGUAGGCAGCUUCAGCUCCAGGAUUACAAGGCCACCAGAUGAGGUCUGGAAAGGUGAGGGCUGUGUCGUUGCCGCCAGGUAAAUAUGGAUUCCUGGGUCACAAAACCCAAAUAGUAAUGUUUCCUGUGGUGGACACUACCUGAAAGGACCCCGAUGUUAGUAAACAGGCAACUAUAAUUCACUAUAUCUUCUGAGCAUAUCAAAUUCCUAAUAGAGAAUAUAAUGGCAGAGUACCAUGUUAAGAAAAGCAAUCACA